rnacentral:rRNA from 1 species
AGUGAACGCUGGCGGUAGGCCUAACACAUGCAAGUCGAACGGCAGCACAGUAAGAGCUUGCUCUUACGGGUGGCGAGUGGCGGACGGGUGAGGAAUACAUCGGAAUCUACUUUUUCGUGGGGGAUAACGUAGGGAAACUUACGCUAAUACCGCAUACGACCUACGGGUGAAAGCAGGGGAUCUUCGGACCUUGCGCGAUUGAAUGAGCCGAUGUCGGAUUAGCUAGUUGGCGGGGUAAAGGCCCACCAAGGCGACGAUCCGUAGCUGGUCUGAGAGGAUGAUCAGCCACACUGGAUCUGAGACAGGGUCCAGACUCCUACGGGAGGCAGCAGUGGGGAAUAUUGGACGAUGGGCGCAAGCCUGAUCCAGCCAUACCGCGGGGGUGAAGAAGGCCUUCGGGUUGGAAAGCCCUUUUGUUGGGAAAGAAAAGCAGCAGGUUAAUACCCCGCUGUUCUGACGGUACCCAAAGAAUAAGCACCGGCUAACUUCGUG